rnacentral:rRNA from 1 species
AAUAUUGCAAAAUGGAGGGAACUCUGAUGCAGCAACGCCGCGUGAGUGAAGAAGGUUUUCGGAUCGUCCAACUCUGUCAUUGGGGAAGAAUAAAUGACGGUACCCAAUGAGGAAGCCCCGGCUAACUACGUGCCAGCAGCCGCGGUAAUACGUAGGGGGCGAGCGUUGUCCGGAAUUACUGGGCGUAAAGGGUACGUAGGCGGCUAUAUAAGUCAGGUGUGAAAUACCAGUGCUUAACACUGGAAUUGCAUUUGAAACUGUGUAGCUUGAGUGCAGGAGAGGAAAGUGGAAUUCCUAGUGUAGCGGUGAAAUGCGUAGAGAUUAGGAGGAACACCAGUGGCGAAGGCGACUUUCUGGACUGUAACUGACACUGAGGCGCGAAAGCUAGGGGAGCAAAC